AUCUGUGUUUGUAUGUGCCAGUGUGUGUAUCUGUGUGUCAGUGUGUAUCUCUGUGUGUGUGUGUGUGUGUGUGUGUGUGUAUAUGUAUCUGACAUAGAUAUACACACACACACUGAUACAUAUUGGUACACAGAUACACACACCCUAGGGUUCCGCGGAAC